rnacentral:misc_RNA from 1 species
GAUGAAGAACGCAGCGAAACGCGAUAGUUAAUGUGAAUUGCAGAAUUCAGUGAAUCAUCGAGUCUUUGAACGCACAUUGCGCCCAUUGGUAUUCCAUUGGGCAUAUCUGUUUGAGCGUCAUUACAAAAAACAUCUCAGCGUUUUUAAGCUGGUGGGUUAUGGGCUUCUAUUUCUCUUUUAUAAGAAAUAGGCUUGAAAGUUAGUACGCUUUGCAGGCUGCUUUGCCAAACUAAAAACAUAGUAAAUUUAUUCUUUGUUUCUAAUAAGGUUUUGCACGCUCUGCCUGAAGAAAAAAAUUUUUUUUUUUUCAAAAGGUUUGACCUCAAAUCAGAUAAGGAUACCCGCUGAACUUAAGCAUAUCAAUAAGCGGAGGA